GACGAACGCUGGCGGCGUGCUUAACACAUGCAAGUCGAACGGAAAGGCCCUGCUUUUGUGGGGUGCUCGAGUGGCGAACGGGUGAGUAACACGUGAGUAACCUGCCCUUGACUUUGGGAUAACUUCAGGAAACUGGGGCUAAUACCGGAUAGGAGCUCCUGCUGCUUGGUGGGGGUUGGAAAGUUUCGGCGGUUGGGGAUGGACUCGCGGCUUAUCAGCUUGUUGGUGGGGUAGUGGCUUACCAAGGCUUUGACGGGUAGCCGGCCUGAGAGGGUGACCGGCCACGGUGGGACUGAGAUGCGGCCCAGACUCCUACGGGAGGCAGCAGUGGGGGAUAUUGCACAAUGGGCGGAAGCCUGAUGCAGCACCGCCGCGUGCGGGAUGACGGCCUUCGGGUUGUAAACCGCUUUCGCCUGUGACGAAGCGUGAGUGACGGUAAUGGGUAAAGAAGCACCGGCUAACUACGUG
rnacentral:rRNA from 1 species